rnacentral:tmRNA from 1 species
GGGGGCGUAAAGGAUUCGACGAGAUCGCAGUCGCUGCUUAGAGGCAUGCCGGGUUCCGAGCACCCGUUAAACGAUCGGAACAAAAGAACUGCCAACGACAUGCAGUUUGCACACGCUGCCUAAGCUUAGGUAGCCGUCUUCGCCGUUGGGCUCGCACAUCGGCACAAGACGUCAUCUUGCGAGAUAGGUUUCAAGACUUCCGCCUGGAGCCUUGCGACCGAGACUAAUCAGGCUGGGCCGCAGGUAGCUUGUUCAUUCACAGCCUGCAGUUGAGAUCUUCGAAUGAACUAAGCAUGUAGGCUCUUCGUAGUGGCCUUUCUCGGACGCGGGUUCGAUUCCCGCCGCCUCCACCA